rnacentral:tRNA from 1 species
ACCCAGCUGGGUCAGUCAGUAGAGCAUGUGACUCUUGAUCUCAGGGUCAUGAGUUCAAGCCCCAUGCUGGGCA